GCCAAGAUAGUUCAAUUGGUUAGAACAUUAAUUUCAUGCGUUAAUAAUGAGAAUUCGAAUUUCUCUCUUGGUA
rnacentral:tRNA from 2 species